UAGAGCCGUGUGCCGCGAGAGUCGCAUGCACGGUUUCGGAGGGAAGAUCGAUGGGUAAUUGCUUUCCCGAC
rnacentral:ncRNA from 1 species